rnacentral:rRNA from 1 species
GACAGAGGUCCCGAGCGUUAGGCGGAAUCACUGGGCUUAAAGCGUGUGUAGGCGGAUCGUUAAGUACCUUGUGAAAUCCCUCGGCUUAACCGGGGAACUGCGUCUGAUACUGGAUGGCUUGAGUUUGGGAGAGGGAUGCGGAAUUCCAGGUGUAGCGGUGAAAUGCGUAGAUAUCUGGAGGAACACCGGUGGCGAAGGCGGCAUCCUGGACCAACACUGACGCUGAGUGAGCGAAAGCCAGGGGAGCAAACGGG